rnacentral:rRNA from 1 species
AUGCAGCGACGCCGCGUGAGGGAUGACGGCCUUCGGGUUGUAAACCUCUUUCAGUAGGGAAGAAGCGUAAGUGACGGUACCUGCAGAAGAAGCGCCGGCUAACUACGUGCCAGCAGCCGCGGUAAUACGUAGGGCGCAAGCGUUAUCCGGAAUUAUUGGGCGUAAAGAGCUCGUAGGCGGUUUGUCGCGUCUGCUGUGAAAGACCGGGGCUCAACUCCGGUUCUGCAGUGGGUACGGGCAGACUAGAGUGCAGUAGGGGAGACUGGAAUUCCUGGUGUAGCGGUGAAAUGCGCAGAUAUCAGGAGGAACACCGAUGGCGAAGGCAGGUCUCUGGGCUGUAACUGACGCUGAGGAGCGAAAGCAUGGGGAGCGAACAGGAUUAGAUACCCUGGUAGUCCAUGCCGUAAACGUUGGGCACUAGGUGUGGGGGACAUUCCACGUUUUCCGCGCCGUAGCUAACGCAUUAAGUGCCCCGCCUGGGGAGUACGGCCGCAAGGCUAAAACUCAAAGGAAUUGACGGGGGCCCGCACAAGCGGCGGAGCAUGCGGAUUAAUUCGAUGCAACGCGAAGAACCUUACCAAGGCUUGACAUGAACCGGAAAGACCUGGAAACAGGUGCCCCGCUUGCGGUCGGUUUACAGGUGGUGCAUGGUUGUCGUCAGCUCGUGUCGUGAGAUGUUGGGUUAAGUCCCGCAACGAGCGCAACCCUCGUUCUAUGUUGCC